UGACAUUUGCUUGGUGGUGUCUGCUAGU
rnacentral:piRNA from 1 species